GCUCAUCGCAGCAUCAUACGCAACAAUGUUGCCGUAGAAUAUCUUCUCCAGAUCCUUCAUCCACUUCGUCAGCAAGAGAUUAACCUGCAGCAGGGUGGCGGCAGGAUGGCUGACUCUCGAGUAACAUUGUCCGAGGAUCGAGAACAUGGUGAUGAGGAGGGGAGGAACUCACGCCAGCUUUAGAGACUCUCAGCUCCAAAUCAUGGUUAUAUAACUCAUACAGAUACUGCCCUAGCUCCACGCCCUCCUUCCCCUCUUCCUUCAGGCGGCGCAGGACGAGCCACAUGUGGAGGACGAGGAGAGAGAAUGUGGUCUUAAAGGUUUUCUCCAGGUGGAACACUGCACAGGUGUAGUAGAAGUUCACUACGAGUUGCACAUGAAUGGAUGAUAACAUACAGUGCAGGAAAUCAACAUCUUAGGAUGAUGAUGAUGAUGAUGAUGAUGACGAUGAUGAGACGGAUGCAAAGGCCGGCCUCUUGAGCUCUGAUGACUUUUCUUCUCUAGAUAAUAACUCUCUAUGAUCUCUGUUUUCUCUACCAAUACGAUGAUAAUUGGAAUCAGAUUGGGCAACCAGACCAACUAGGCCUGAUUCAACCCAGAUAAUAAUAGUCAGGGUUGGGUUUGAAUCAGCCCAACCCAAUUAAGGGAGGCUGAGUAAUCACACGAUGGUGUUCAAUUGAUUAUUCAUUGAUUGAGGGUCCUCGCAGACAUAUAUGAUCAUCACACUGACGAGAAAAUAGAUUUAGAAAAGGGCAUAAGAAUAAGUGUAAGAACCUAGAUAAGAAAAUGCAUGGUUAGAAGUGUGUCAAAUGAGAUGAAUUAUAAAAUAAUGUACAUACCAUCAUAAAUGGCCGGCUUGUCAACCUGUGAGAUGACACGUUUAUAAAUCACGUUUGCUCCUCUAAUGUCUUUGCUCUGUUUACUGUAAAAUAACAUGAGCUUCAGCAGUAUGCGCUUGAGACCCUCGUAUUGGGGCUCUUCUAUCCUCAGCGGUGAGUCAGGGGCCAAAGCCAACGAGCAAGGCUUCGACCAAAACAGAGUAUUCAACCUAGCCUGGAAAAUUUAUGGCGUAUAAAUUCAUCUUCAGUAAACACAGGUAUUAUUAAAUAACCCCAUCAAGCAGAAUUGAGAUUCCCUUUUCUCAUCACUGAAGCCGAAUAAUUCAUGCAGAUUGAAAUGGCAAUUUAGUCCAUACGUGCUUCAAAAUAAUUUCUCAUUUAGCAAGAAUCACAUGUAUUAUGAUCGUCGUCAUAGCAAGAUUCCAUCAAUUUGGGGUUUCCUAGGAUUGACACAGGGAUCUCUUCUAUCUAAGAGGAGGUGCUGAGGUCCUUCUUUCACAAAGGUAACUUCAAGAUGGAGGGCAUGGCCAACUGAGAGGUGGGGCGAUUUCGGCCCAGGCAAUCAAAGAGAAACCGCGGUGAUCCUCCUGAAACUGUGGGAGUUCAGGUAAAUAUGGAAGGAGGCAAACAAGGAUACUGGGAAAUAUAGCCGCGGUAAAUUUCAGCAGAUUUCCAGGGAAAACUUACAUUAAUCAUAAAAAUCAGGAACGCUCCGUUUGAUCAGCACCUACAAGGAAUUAUCGGCUUUCCCAGGAGCCCCAGCCAACGAGGAAUACAGGGUUAUAUUGUCGCUAUGGGACUUGCCAGCUGAGUGCUUUGAAAUAAACCUAUCGAGUAUCUCAUUUUUGGACUAGGAAGGACCAGUUCCGUCGGCAGAAACAUGACGAGCUGAAAACAAUUAGGUUUACACCGUCUGCCAAUUGGACGAUCCAACAACACCGGAGGCGCCAAGCUCGAAAAACAAAACUAACGACAAAUUUCGUCCCCACACAUUUCCGCAUUUUCUUCAUCUCAAAGGGAGGUUCAUUUUGAUCGAAAACAUCACAUCAAUGUCACGGCAGACGCAGCACAAACAGAGCCAGAAACAAAGGAUCCAAUAAAACAUUUAGCUCAAGAAGACUCCGGCGCUCAAGCAAAUACUGGAAAAAAGAAAAGAAAAGGCAGUCAAUGUUUAGUUCACGAACCUCGGGCUUCGGAGCGGACGACGAUCCCUUCGAAGCCCAAUCCGGCGCUCCUGAACCGGAAACCUUGGACGAGCACCGGCGGGGGAGGAACUGGCUAAGAUCCCCUCGCGGCGGGCCCUCGGCGAUCUUCUUCAGGCCGAGAACACAGAGGCGGCUCGCCGCCGUCCCCCAUCGGGGCAUCCUCUCCCUCCUGCGAUCGCCGCGGCGGCACGUAGAAGGAGCUGCGUUCUGUUCUCAGUGAAGAAGAAGAAGAUCAAGGAGGGCAGACGGGUCCGGAAUGGGCCGAAGCCCAACUACAACACAGAGGUGAUUUAUGGGCCUAAUGGGCCGUAUCUGUUUAAGCCGCUUAAUUAGGAAAAUUUAAUUCGUUGAGGGUAUACCGAUCGGACGGCUGCUGAUGAUGAACCCUACGAUGGGGUUAGCCGCUGUAAUCAAACUGACGCGGUGUGUGAGAGGAAGGGAGAGGAUAGCGAGGGGAGCUCUCUCGCGCCACUGCUGGUCGGGGGAGAGAGCCGGGGAGCUCUCGCGCCAGGCGGAGCAGAUGUUGGGAUCUAAUGUCGCGGGAUCUGGCUCAGUCCUUGCUCUACUUCCUUGUAAGUUUCUCUCUCGAUUGUAUCUAUUUCUCUGUUUUCAUUGUUCUUGUUUAUGCCGGCGUUCGGUGACUGCUCUGUGACGCAUCCGUUUUUAUACAUUUUUUUUCCAUUCUUGUGUUGAUCUAAUGUGGUUACGAGCUGCUAGUAGAUACCUGAACAUGAAUUUGAGAACGUUUGGUGAGCAAACUGCGUGUCGCUGAUGCCGUUUCUGUUGAUGCAAGUUUUAGGAGGGAUAAUGGAACAUGUUGAUGUCUAGUUUUUCGUAAUGAAAGUGUGGUGCCAUAUUCCACCGACUGUUUUCCUUUUUUGUAAUGACCUAUGAGUUUCUUCAGGCAGAGGCGUGUCUUUUAAGCUUCCCGUUGUUGCUUGUAUUUCUCCAAGGAAGCAAGUGGCAAGGUAAUCGCUGCUUUUGGCCUCUUCCCGUGUUCAAUAACCUGUGAGAUUAACUUAAUGUGUUUUGGAUUGACAGCGACUGGAAGGAAGAUGAGGGGUGCAUAAGGUUGCUGCAUUUUGAUGAAGCUCAAGGCCGAAGGGGAUUCGUUAUGUUCUCUUUGGUUGCUGCUGGCAUAUCUGUGGCUCUUCCUGCCUCGGCCAAGGGGAAGAAUAAGAGCAAAUAUGAUGAGAAACGCUUGCUUGAGCAAAAUAGAAAGAUUCAAGCGGCAAAUAAUGCACCUGAAGGCUUCCCAAACUUCAUUAGAGAAGGUAAACAUUUUAUCAUCAGAUCUGAUAAUCAUGCAGAAGUUAAUCCCAAGAUUUUCCCAGCGGGUCUUAUUUUUUGUUGGGUGUGAUUUUUUUUGUGAGAUGAUAUACAGAAAAUUUCAGGCUUACUCCCGUUCCCUAAAACCCUCCACCUCUUAGUGUCAUUGUAGUAGCUACCCAGCACAUGGUUCAUCACUCAUCGGCAACCUGGGCACUUUUUUUUGCUUCGUUGCAUGCUGCCGUGCUCAUGCCGGUAGAUAAAUAAACAUGAUCUACAUUAUCAAGUACAAGACCCUUUUGUCCUAGGGUUUUUCAUUGAAUGAAAUCUUCUCACUAUCUGUUUAACAUUACCUAUCGAACUAUGGAUGCACACUAGUCAUUAUUUUGUUUGCUGAUGAUACAAACUUGCCAUUCUGCUUCUGUUAAACCGAAACCUUUAAUCCUCAUCGAAUGAGAAUUCGUGUGGCCUUUUCAUUUUAAUAGUAGAAUCAACUGGGAUUGGUUUCCUGUUUGGCAUGCAGAUUAUUGUGAAUUUGUUCUCUUGGGAUAUACGUGAUGCUUCUAGGUGUUAAGUGGCAAUAUAUUGUGGAACAGUCCAGAUUUAGUUCAUCAGAAGAUUUUCUUCCAUUUUCAAGAGCAGCCAGAUAUAAUAUCGGCAUUAUUCAUUGUGUCUAUCUGUCUUUUUCACCCACCUAAUUUGUCAAGUGGACGAUUGGUCCAAGCUUUCUGAUCUAUGUGCUUCAUUGUUGCAUUGUCCAGGUGCAAUUGACUUUUGUUGAAAAUAAUAACUGCAACUGACUUUUGGCGUUGUUCUCUAAAAAUUCUGUCAUAUGGAAUGAAUUUCGAGACUUAUUGCCCAUGAAAGACAGAAUUGGUGAAUGUGUGUACACCAUUGUUUACGUGGUCUAGUGGGUAUCCAUCUAAAAUAGAAAAAGAAAAUUGCUUCCAUCAGACGCAUCACUUACUGAUGAGUGACAUGAUG
rnacentral:lncRNA from 1 species